rnacentral:rRNA from 1 species
AUUGAACGCUGGCGGCAGGCCUAACACAUGCACGUCGAGCGAGCGGCGGACGGGUGCGUCAUGUCUGGGAAACUGCCUGAUGGAGGGGGAUCACUACUGGAAACGGUAGCUAAUACCGCAUACCAUCAGAUGUGCCCAGAUGUGAUUAGCUAGUCGGUGGGGUAAUGGCUCACCUAGUCGACGAUCCCUAGCUGGUCUGAGAGGAUGACCAGCAACACUGGAACUGAGACACGGUCCAGAUUCCUACGGGAGGCAGAAGUGGGGAAUAUUGCACAAUGGGCGCAAGCCUGAUGCAGCCAUGCCGCGUGUAUGAAGAAGGCCUGCGGGUUGUAAAGUACUUUCAGCGAGGAGGCGUUACUCGCAGAAGAAGCAGCGGCUAACUCCGUGCCAGCAGCCGCGGUAAUUC